GCCAGUGUGGUGUAGUGGCUUGAGCACUGGAGUGUGACACUGCAGACCAGGGUUCAAAUCCCCGCUUGACU